rnacentral:rRNA from 1 species
UACGAAGGGGGCUAGCGUUGUUCGGAAUCACUGGGCGUAAAGGGCGCGUAGGCGGCUUUAUAAGUCGGGGGUGAAAGCCUGUGGCUCAACCACAGAAUUGCCUUCGAUACUGUAGAGCUUGAGACCGGAAGAGGUAAGUGGAACUGCGAGUGUAGAGGUGAAAUUCGUAGAUAUUCGGAAGAACACCAGUGGCGAAGGCGACUUACUGGACACAUAUUGACGCUGAGGUGCGAAAGCGUGGGGAGCAAACAGG